CCAUGGUAGAAUUAGGAAAAUUGAUACUCACGUACCACCCUUGCUUCUCCAUCGACAUCAUAAUCCCCACCGCCCCGUUCGUAUCAAGCGCCGGUACCGAUGAUUACAUCGCCUCCGUCUCCGCCACAGCUCCCUCCGUUACCUUCCACCAGCUCCCUCCUCCGGUUUCCCGCAUACCCGACACUUUACGUUCACCAGCUGACUUCCCAGCCUUAGUGUACGAGCUUGGCGAGCUCAACAACCCUAAUCUCCACGAAACCCUAAUAACAAUUUCCAAACGCUCAAACCUGAAAGCCUUUGUUAUCGAUUUCCUUUGCAACCCCGCGUUUCAAGUUUCCUCGAGUACUCUCAGUAUCCCUACUUACUAUUACUUCACCUCCGGAGGGAGCGGACUCGCUGCUCUCCUCUACUUACCAACUCUUCAUAGAAACACCACAAAGAGCUUCAGAGAACUCGGCAGCAUGCUUUUAAAUUACCCCGGAUUACCGCCUUUUCCAGCAAGAGACAUGGCGGAACCCAUGCAUGACCGUGAGGGUAAAGCAUACAAGGGCUUAGUCGACACCGGCAUCCCGAUGGCAAAAUCUGCGGGGGUUAUUGUAAACACAUUUGAAUUGCUCGAAGAGAGAGCUAUCAAAGCAAUGCUAGAAGGACAAUGCACUCCAGGGGAGACGUUGCCGCCUUUAUAUUGCAUAGGGCCUGUGGUUGGUGGAGGAAAUGGAGAGAAUCGAGGACGUGAUCGACAUGAAUGCUUGAGCUGGCUUGACUCGAAACCGAGUCGAAGCGUCCUGUUUCUUUGUUUCGGAAGCUUGGGAUCGUUCUCUAGUAAGCAGUUAAAAGAAAUGGCCAUUGGGUUGGACAGAAGUGGUGUUAAGUUUCUUUGGGUCGUGAGAGCUCCAGCUCCCGACAGCGUCGAGAACCGAAGCUCAUUGGAGUCUCUUUUGCCUGAAGGGUUCUUGGAUAGAACAAAAGAUAGGGGGCUCGUGGUUGAAUCGUGGGCGCCGCAAGUAGAGGUACUGAAUCACGAGUCAGUUGGCGAGUUUGUGACUCACUGCGGGUGGAACUCGGUGCUUGAAGGUGUUUGUGCCGGGGUGCCAAUGUUGGCUUGGCCUCUGUAUGCCGAGCAAAAGAUGAUUAAAGCGGUCGUGGUGGAGGAAAUGAAGGUGGGUUUGGCGGUGACUCGGUCAGAAGAAGGAGACGGGUUGGUGAGCGCAGCCGAGUUGGAGCAGCGAGUUAGUGAGUUGAUGGACUCGGAGAAAGGUAGAGCUGUUAAGGAACGUGCGGUGGCAAUGAAAGAAGCAGCUGCAGCAGCGAUGAGGGAUGGUGGGUCAUCUCGUGUUGCAUUGGACAAUUUGGUUGAGUCAUUUAAAAGAGGACGCAUGGCUCCGUUGGGAUAGUCAAAACAAUAAUGAAGUUUUCACAAAAGUUGCAUAAAAUUUCUGUUUAGUAAUUCAAUAUUUUUUGUUUUUAAUAAGUUCAUGCAUUUUUUUUCCUUUGCUAACUUUUUGAGUAAAUGUAUAUGUAUAAAAUUAUUCGAGUAAAAAUUAGCACCUGUGAUUCUCUCUCGUUCUUUUAAAAAUAAACGAUGAUGUUUUUCUUUAAUUUGGAAUAUUAACAAUUGUAUGUCAUUCCGUAGAUUUCCUUUACUAUUCUUAGUACGCUCAUGGGCUAAUUACCAAAGGAUUAUUAUUUAAUGAAUGUCUUUUAAGGAGGGUGGUGAUGCAGAAAAACUGCCUUAACAUUUGAAUUUAUUUGUCUAGGGAAUAACAACACGAAUCCAAGCUCAAACUACAGCUCAACCAUAACUUCUUAUACUACUAACCAUAGAACACGGUUAAUACACGCUGGUGGGGGUUUCGGCAAGAAUCCUUUGAUGCUUAAGUAAGAUGUUUUGUAUAUGAGAAAAAAGAAAAUGAAAAAGAGGAAUUGGAAAUGAGUUAAAAUCAAAGAAUUCUUGGGUGGUUGUGUUGUUAAUCUCAUAAAAAAUAAGAAGGUUUUAAGACUAGCCAUUUAUAGAGCUUUUUAGUUAAUUUUUCUAAUCAUUUCCUUUGAUGCUCUUUUCCACUUAAAAUAGGCUCUCAGUUGUGGAUGGUUACUCCAUUAGUUUUAUCCCAUUCUCUUGAGCAGUUAUAGCUAGUUGUCAGUUGAAGACGGUUUGGCAAGUUGUGGUUUGUAAUUUCCCCAAAAUAUAGGCCACGUGGUCUUGACAAAUAAUAUUUCGUGUCGAGCUAGCACAUCCUCAGGUUGGACAAACAAAUUUCGAGGUUGAAUUACUUCAUUUCCAGAUCGUAUUAGUGGAUUUUUAUGUCGCUCGCAUGGGCCUAGAGUUGUAUUUAUAAAUAAGGUCGUCCACAUUAAUUCCAAGUUGUACUUGUCAACAUAGGCUUCUAGUUGUACUCAUAAGGUCAGUUCAACAACAUUUGAUUCCUAACAAGUUAGGGUCAAUUGUAUUUCUUAACAUUAUUAGAAAAAAAAAACUAAUCUCAACACCAGUCCCUUAGUUUUUAAUAUCAGGAAGUUAUUACGAGUGUUAGAAAUUAAUUAUUAAAAAAAAAUAGAAAAAUAUUCGCAAACCCAACACUAGUCGCUUAGUUUCCAAUAUCGAGAAGAUAUGAUCUGUGUUGGAAACUUAAACGGGGGAUAAUAUGACCUUGAGCUGACCAAAGAAUGCUUAGCUAAACAUGAAUGAUGCCGAGUUGAAUGGGCUUAAAAAUUGUUAAAAUUUUGCAUUGAUCAUAGAGAAAAGACAAAAAGGACGAAAAAGUAGAGAAUUAAAUAAAUAAGGUAAUAAAACAAAAGUAAAGAAAUAAAUGAAUAAGGCAACAAAACAAAAGUCAUGUCACGUUAGUAGAGGAAUGCAAAAUUUAAGUCACCAACUUUUGUCUUAUAGUCAAUACUAAGGUAAUCUCGGCCAUACGAUUGCCUAAGGGCUUAGAUAAGGUAAUCUAUGAAGGGCACAAUUACGAGAACUAGAUGUGGCUAACUACAAAUUUAUUGUACAACUCACGUGGUAUAAAUAGCAUGGAUUUAAUUAAAUAAAACACCGUACCAUCCAUAUCAUUUAUUUUUAUUAUGUUAUCUAUUUGUAUACAAUAGUUGAGAGUUUGUGACUGCUGUAUUUUAGUGUCUUCUUGUUAUUUUUCUCAAAAAGUACCAAAAAGAAAUUCAGUCCAAAGUCCAUAAUCCGACCCGGCCCAAACAUAAAUUAAGCUGUUUGGUGCUUGAGCUACGAUACGGCCUUGGAUCACUUGCAUGAAUACAGUGAGGGGCUUUUAGCAAUAGUCGUUAAUUGGCUUAUCCGAAAAGUCCAUAGUACAAACACUUCGUAAUAAUUAUUUGUAUUUUUUUAUUACAUAAUAAUAUGCAUUUGAACACACAAACCCACUCACUAAAUCCACACUUGGAAAAAAAAAAUUAAAUUAUUAAAAUAUUUGUAUUCUUUAAGCCCAUCUUUACACUCACCGUUACAUUUUUUUUAACCCUGAAUUGAUAUCUUUAUUUAUUUUUUAUUAAUCUUAGAACACAUAUAAAGUGACUCCUAUUGAAUUUAUGGAAGAGCAAAAUAAUGUUGAGAAUAAUUUUAAUUACAAAGAAGUGUGAAUUUCUUUCAUUUACAUACGACUGCCAAAUAAUAAUUUAACCAUAUGCUUAAGAGAAAUUAUAGAAUACGAGAAAACGUCGCCUAUUUUAAUUGAGAAUUUUGAUCCUCAUUGUAAAAAACUUGAUUAGUAGUAUUUCCUCGUAAGCAAAAGUUGAAAUUAAUUUGCCAGCUACAUAUUUUAGUUAAUUGUUAAGCAGGUUUAGUGAGAAUUCCAUUGAAAUAUAGUUAGAAGUUUUAAAAAAAUUGAAGGAGACUUCAUAUGCUUCUUGAAUACAACAUUUUAAAGAAAUGACAUGUGAUGGGUUUAAUAAUAGCUGGCUUUUUAAUAGUAGAGGAGUGUUAGCGACAAUCGCCCAUCAGCCGCUAACUUCAUUUGCUGACACGUGUUUGAUAUUUUGGGUUCUGUAUAGUUUUAAAUAAAUGUUAAAAUAUUAAUAUCUUUUAGUUUUAUUUUAAUAUUAUUAUAUAUAUGUAUAGUGAAAUUACCAAAACAUCCUUAUCCUUUCUCCUCCUUGCCAAGCUUUCUCUUCUUAUUGUUCUCUUCUCCGUCAAUUUCUUUUCCUUCUUUUCUCCUUUAACGAAAGAUUGGAAGGGAAAAAAAAAAAAAGACAAGGGGAAAAAAGAUUUAAAAAAACAAAGUCUCCUAAAAAAAGAAAUGAUAACAAAAUAUUAUCGUUGCUUGAAAGAUGACCGUCUCUCCACUUCUCCUACUUCAGAUUUGAUAUGAUAUUUUAUUUUAGGUGCGUAAUCGGAUCUACAUGGCUAGGAUAAUUUUUGUUAUUUAUUUUUUAAAGUAAAAUAUUUUUUAAAAUUUUAUUUUAGCUAAAAAGGAGACUUGACUUCAAAUUUUUUUUUUUCCCUUUUCUCUCUUUUUUCCAAGCUUCCAGUAGAGAGAGAAAAGAAAUUGAAGAAGCAGAGAAGGAGCUGCAGUGGCAGGGAGAACAAGCCUGGCGAGAGGGAGAAAUGAUAAGGAUAUUGUGGUAAAUUCGUUAUACAUAAAAAUAAUAAUAUUAAAACAAAACUUAAAGAUAUUAACAUUAAUUUAAAAUUACACAGAACCAAAAUAUCAAACACGUGCCCAUAAAAUAAAAGAGCGACUGAGUUAGUGGCCCACAAGGGCGACCGACUGUCGCUAGCACACCUCUUUAUGCUAUCAUUAAUCAAUUGACAUGUAAUGUGCCAGUAAAUUGGGACACAAAUAUUUUAUUCCGAUUUCGCGGACAGAUUAAUUGUACUUCAGUACUCGCCGAGCCAAUAAUUUAAAUUAAAAUUGGUCAGCAUUAACAUGCCACGAAUAUAGCUACAAGAUUGGCUUAAUCGCAAUGGAAGUGACUGUUGUAGACUUCAUAUGUUCAUAUUUUGAUUGGCCUAAUCGCAAUUGAAGUGACUGUUGCAGACUUCAUAUGUUCAAAUUUUGAUUGGCCUAAUCGCAAUGGAAGGUUCACAUGCCUAAUAUAUUAUUCUUACUUCUAAAAGGAUAAAAAUUUAAGGAGUUUUCUCUCUAUAAAUUUAAUUUUAUUGUACAUACGAUCACAAAUUUAAAUUAAAUUGUCACAUGAAUCAUUUGUAAGGCUAAUUUGAUAACGUUGUAUCUUUAAAAAUAAUUACCGGUAAAUAUAUCAUAAAGAAACCAAUAAAACUAAUAUAUUAAUAUUCUAAACUUUUUUCUAUAAGCUCCGACCUUUUUUUUAGCAUUUAAUAAUUUUAAAUUAUAGGUAAAGAAAUGAAAGAAUACUUUAUUUUUUAUCCUUCUCCAAGAAAAAUGUCACUUAAAUUUCAUCGUAGGAUUAGGAAAAUUGAUACUUAAUUACCACCCUUGCUACCAUAAUCCGCACCACCGCCCCAUUCGAAACAAGCUCCUGUAUCCACGGUUGCAUCGCCUCCGUCUCCGCCACCACUCCUUCCGUCACUUUCCACCACUUCCCUCUGGUAAUCUAGAAGAAUUAAGGGAUAGUUUUUGUUUUUUAUUUUUAUUUUUAAUACGGUGGAGCCUAGUUAAAGAUUAGGAGAAAACAGAGCGGGGUAGGGGACAGGUAAAUCAAGCGGUGUAAACAUAGGCCACGUCAUUUGCUUUGAAAAAUCAUAGUGGGUAGUUGAACUAUGUGGCUAGAAACAGGUUGGUCAAUUAUGUCAGCAUACUGUGAUUGUCUGAUGGGUUCACAACCUGGCAACUAAGUGACCUCAACUCGCAAGUCCUUCUCGUUUUGAUAAAUAAUUCAGCCCACAUGCUACACUUACACAAGGCAUUGAAGCCGAGUAGAAGAGACUUAAUCGUUUUCCCCAAAAUCCUCCUCCACUUGUGAAAGUAUCUUUAAGCUCCCUUUACUUCAACCAACAAUUCUUUGCCCAUUUCGUCGUGGGUUUCGAUGCAUAAUUGCAUUGCGAUUAGCAAACACAAAGGAGCCCUUUAUCACACUCUCAUUCUCUCUCACUAUAAUUUCUCACCAUUUCUACUGUUUUUUUUUUUAAAUUUUAACUUGUAAAAUUAAAGAUUAAAAAAAAUGAAAGAUACGAUUGUCUUUUAUACUUCUCCAGGAAGAGGUCACUUAAACUCCAUGGUUGAAUUAGGAAAAUUGAUACUCACGUACCACCCUUGCUUCUCCAUCGACAUCAUAAUCCCCACCGCCCCGUUCGUAUCAAGCGCCGGUACCGAUGAUUACAUCGCCUCCGUCUCCGCCACAGCUCCCUCCGUUACCUUUCACCAGCUCCCUCCUCCGGUUUCCGGCCUACCCGACACUUUACGUUCACCAGCUGACUUCCCAGCCUUAGUGUACGAGCUUGGCGAACUCAACAACCCUAAACUCCACGAAACCCUAAUAACAAUUUCCAAACGCUCAAACCUCAAAGCCUUUGUUAUCGAUUUCUUUUGCAACCCCGCGUUUCAAGUUUCCUCAAGUACUCUCAGUAUCCCUACUUACUAUUACUUCACCACCGCAGGAAGCGUACUCGCUGCUAACCUCUACUUACCAACUCUUCAUAAAAACACCACAAAGAGCUUCAGAGAACUCGGCAGCACGCUUUUAAAUUUCCCCGGAUUUCCGCCUUUUCCAGCAAGAGACAUGGCGUUACCCAUGCAUGAUCGUGAGGGUAAAGUAUACAAGGGCUUAGUCGACACCGGCAUCCAGAUGGCAAAAUCUGCGGGGGUUAUUGUAAACACAUUUGAAUUGCUCGAAGAGAGAGCUAUCAAAGCGAUGCUAGAAGGACAAUGCACUCCAGGGGAGACGUCGCCGCCUUUAUAUUGCAUAGGGCCCGUGGUUGGUCGAGGAAAUGGAGAGAAUCGAGGACGAGAUCGACAUGAAUGCUUGAGUUGGCUUGACUCGAAACCGAGUCGAAGCGUCCUGUUUCUUUGUUUCGGAAGCUUGGGAUCGUUCUCUAGUAAGCAGUUAAAAGAAAUGGCCAUUGGGUUGGAGAGAAGUGGUGUUAAGUUUCUUUGGGUCGUGAGAGCUCCAGCUCCCGACAGCGUCGAGAACCGAAGCUCAUUGGAGUCUCUUUUGCCUGAAGGGUUCUUGGAUAGAACAAAAGAUAGGGGGCUCGUGGUUGAAUCGUGGGCGCCGCAAGUGGAGGUACUGAAUCAUGAGUCAGUUGGCGGGUUUGUGACUCACUGCGGGUGGAACUCGGUGCUUGAAGGUGUUUGUGCCGGGGUGCCAAUGUUGGCUUGGCCUCUGUAUGCCGAGCAAAAGAUGAUUAGAGCGGUCGUGGUGGAGGAAAUGAAGGCGGGUUUGGCGGUGACUCGGUCAGAAGAAGAAGACAGGUUGGUGAGCGCAGCCGAGUUGGAACAGCGAGUUAGUGAGUUGAUGGAGAAAGGUAGAGCUGUUAAGGAACGUGCGGUGGCAAUGAAAGAAGCAGCUGCAGCAGCGAUUAGGGAUGGUGGGUCAUCUCGUGUUGCAUUGGACAAUUUGGUUGAGUCAUUUAAAAGAGGAUGCAUGGCUCCGUUGGGAUAGUCAAAACAAUAAUGAAAUUUGCACAAAAGUUGCAUAAAAUUUCUGUCUUGUAAUUCAAUAUUUUUCGUUUUAAUAAUUUCGUGCAUUUUUUUCUUGCCUUUGCUAACUUUUUGAGUAAACGUAUAUGUAUAAAAUUAUUCGAGUAAAAUUAUUAAAGCUAGCACCUAUUCCAAUUUGAUGAAUUGAGCCAUAGGAAAAGGUACGCAAACGAACAAAAACAAUUAUAAUAAAUUGCAUUAUCUAAAUCCUUAGGCAACGUAUUGCCGAGAUUACCUUAUAAUAAAAAGAAUUAUAAUAAAUCACAUAAAUUAAGCCCUUAGGCAACGAGUGGCCGAGAUUACCUUAUUAUUGGCUAUAAGACAAAAGUUUGUGACUUAAAUUUUGCUUUCCUCUACUCACAUUACAUGACUUUUGUUUUGUUGUCUCAUUCAUUUAUUGUUUUGUUGCCUUAUUUAUUUAUUUCUUUUACUUAUUCGUCCUUUUUUCUCUUCUCUAUGAGCAAUGCAAUUUUUUUUUUACAAUUUUUGAGCCCAUUCAACUCGGCAUUAUUUAUGUUUAGCUACGCUUUCUUUGCUCAGCUCGAGGUCAUAUUGUCCUCCGUUUAAGUUUCCAACACCAAUCGUAUCUUUUCAAUAUUGGAAACUAGGGUGCUAGUGUUGGGUUUGCGAAAAUAUUUUCUAUUUUUUAAUUAAUUUCCAACACCAGUAAUAGCUUCCCAAUAUUAAAAACUAAAGGAUUGAUGUUAGGUUUACGAAUUUUUUUUUUCUAUUUUUUCAAUAAUUAGUUUUGAGCACCAGUAAUAGUUUCCCGAUAUUAAAAACUAAGGGACUUGUGUUGAGGUUGGAUUUUUUCUAACAAUGUCGAGAAAUACAGUUGAUUCUAACAUUUGUUCGGAAUCAAUUGUCGUUGAGCUGGCCUCAUGAGUACAACUAAGAGCCUAUGUUGGUGACGUGGUUUAUAAGUACAAUCUAGAGUCAAUGUGGACGAGCUGGUUUAUAAAUACAACUCUAAGUCCAUACGAGCGACAUAAAAAUCUACCAAUCUGAUAUGGAAAUGAAGUAGUUUGAGCUGGAAACUCGUUUGUCUGACCUGAGAAUAUGCUAGCUUGACACGGAAUAUUAUUUGUUAGGACCACGUGGCAUAUAUUUUGAGAAAGUUACAUAACAUGCAACUUAUCAAACCGCCUUUAGUUGACAACUAGCUGCAACUGCUCAAGAGAGUAGAAUAAAACUGAUGAGAUAAUCACCCACAAUCGAGAGCCUAUUUAAGUUGAAAAGAGCAUAAGAGAAAAGUGGUAGAAAAAUUAACUAAAAAACCCUACAAGUGACUAGUCUUAAAACCUUCAUAUUUUCUACGAGAUUGACAACACAACCACCGAAGAAUUCCUUGAUUUUAACUCAUUUCCAGUUCCUCCUUUUCAUUUUCUUUUUUCUUAUAUACAAAAUGUCUGACUUAAGCAUCGGAGGAUUCCUGUCAGAAACCCCCACCGGCGUGUCCUAACCGUGUUCUGUGGUUGGCAGGUAUAGGAAGUUGCAGUUGAGUUGUAGUUUGAGCUUGGAUUCGUGAUGUUAUUCCCCAUAAAAUAAAUUAAGCUCUUGAGGUCAUUUUUGGGCAUCAACAUAGGGUUGGGUGUAGAGUUUAAUUAUAAAUUUUAACUCUUUAUCUCUCUAGAAGUUGAACUCAUACAACUAAUUAAAUAAAGAGGGUGAAAGCUACUCUUCAAAUCCCUGAAGUCAAGUAAACACAUAAAAUUAAUCUAAGUAAUUAAGUUUUAAAAAAUGCUGGAAUUUUUCAUCAAGUAUUUUUUUCUUAAUCAUGCAAAUAUAAGGGAAUGAUAAGUACCAGACGAUUUAUCAUGUAACUAAAAUGUAAAAUUAAUUAAUUUUUCUUAAUAUACUCCUUGUCCUUUUAAUUUUACUGUACUAAUAAUUAGGGAUGAGCAAACUCAGCCCAACUCAAUACAUUCGAUCCAAUCCAAUUUAAACAAGUUGAGUGGGUUGUUAUGAGUAAUAAGUUUAAUUUUUUUUAUAGUUUAUUAUUAAUAUCUUUUAAAAAAAAGGAAAAAAAAUCUUUAUCUUCUCAUAUUCAUUGAAUUAAAUAUUUUGAAAUCAUUUCCACCAACAUUCCACUGAAUUAGUAGUAGAGAAUGCUACGUUAGAACGCUAUUUUAUUUAAUAUCAACAAAGGCCUCUUUGGGUCAUUUGCGUGAAUAAAAUAGUAUUGAUAUUUGAAGCAGAAAUUUGAAAAGAAUGAAACAAAAGCCUGCAGACGCCCCAUCAUUAUGUUGGUAAUGUCUGAUUAAUGACGUAUGCAGUUACAAGCUUAGAGUACAAAUUCACAUAACCAGCUAUAACUUUUAAGAUACAAUAAUUAUACAAAAAAAAUUAUAAUUAUAAAAUAAAAUUUAAUGGUACAUAGUAAAUAUAAUAUUUAAAUAAUAAAAAUAAAAAAUUAUAUCAACAUAAUUUCUAAGAUACUGCAGUUACUGUUUAUCAAACACUUUAAUAUUAUAAUUUUUAAAUUACAUUUACACAACUUCAAUAAUAAAACAGGGGCAUAAUUGAAAUGCCUUGUAUACACAUCAAAGGUCUACAUAAAUUUAAAUGGGAGAAUGAGAUUCCAGCCGAGUCGAGCAUGCUAGAACCCAGAAAUAUCCUAUCUUGCUGAGCAGGGGCGCAUCACAUCAGUUUGAUAUUCGAAAUUACACUUUAAGAUAUGCUUAUAGUCAGCAGAAAGCAUAAGAGCUGAUUUGUACUCAGCAAUAAUCAAAAGGUUUAUUCACCCAAGCAAAUUGAAAAUAAAACAUAUUGAUCCAUAACAGAGGACAAUUUGACGACGGGUUACAUUUCAAACGUUCACCAAACCUUAUGUGUAAGAGUAGAACAUGGGCUAAACAGAACAAUAUACAAGCUCCUUCAAGCACACAUUAGUUACAAAGCUUUUGACCCUGGAACGUAAACUCCGAGCAAGAAAGACGGAAUGCCAUCUGAGAGACAGAUUUAAUUGCUCCUGCAAGAACCAGUGAAAGCAAAGAAACCAAAAAACGAGGCAUUAGUUUGGGAAAGAAAAAUAUGUGAUGCAAUAAGAAGUGAGCCGACUAUAUCAUAAAUUAAACCCACUUAACAUGUGAAUGAGUAUUACCGUUUAAUCCCUGAACGUUCUUUGCAGUUUGGCAAUAUUCACAGCUGUUAUCAGAUAGACCCAAUCUUUCACACUGGUUAGGAAUUUGAAGUAACCAUGUCUCCACGAAGUAUUCACCAGUAAAGUGCCGCAGACUCCCCAGAAUCCAAUAAAGAAACCAAGAAUCACACUCACGUAGAACCCGAAAGUUAUCAACUGAUCCUCCCCUUCUGGAGUGUUUGCAUCAUCUCUCUCUGGGCUUGCAGCUGAGUCUUCAUCCGGACACUUAUUUCGAAGUGGGAGGCCGCAAAGUUCAGGAUUUCCAGCGUACACCGAGGCAUUGAAGCUCUGGAGUUGAGUGCCCAAUGGAAUUUUGCCUGACAAGUUGUUGUACGACAAGUUCAUGACACUAAGACGACUUAACUGACAAAGGCUUGAAGGAAUGCCGCCGACAAACUGAUUUUGAGACAAAUCGAGGAAAUCCAAUGAUUUUAACUGAUCGAUCUUUGGAGUGAUUUGUCCAGUUAAAUUGUUUCUCGAAAGGUUCAAGGCAACCAAUCCCACAAGAUCCAUAAUUUCUUCAGGAAUAGUGCCACUUAAUUUAUUCAUUGAAAAGUCAAGGAUCUUCACAAGUCCUAGAGUGCUUCUGUACUCGUGCUGACUUCCUUUCCAUGUUAACACAACAUUGUCGACAUACGAUUCGAGAAAUUCUAUGCCUUGACGUUCAAAGGUAUAGUUGGAUGUAAUGGCAAGAUUGGAACUGCUCUUUUGGGCCAUACCAGUAAAAUUAUUUAAACAUUUUGGUAUGAUUCCCGAUAUAUUGUUUAACGAAAGAUCCAAGAUCUGAAUGUAUGAUAGUUGGCAAACCUGAAAAGGUAUAUUUCCAUGGAAUUUGUUGGAUUUCAGACUCAGAACAACCAAUUUUGGAAGGCCUUCUCCGAUCCAUGUUGGUAUCUCUCCGGAUAAUCCGUUCUUCCCAAGAUCCAUAAGUAUCAGUUGUGAGCAGCUCUUGAAAAAUGAAGGCAAUUCCCCAAUUAAGCUAUUGUUGUACAAGCUCAAUGUUUGGUUAGAAUGUAGGAAGCCCAUUGACUUUGGAAUUUUCCCAGAAAAGAAGUUGUUGGCCAAACUAAGAACAGCUAGCCUAUCGAAUUGCAUCCAACAAUCUGGAAGCCUUCCUGAUAAUAUGUUAUUUGAGAGAUCAAGAAAUUCCAAUUUAUGGCCAUUGAUAGAGCAUAAGAAGGAAAUUGACUCUGAAAACUUAUUUCUGGAGAGAUUUAAGACUGACGCAUUUGAAGGAAGAGGCGGAAUUAGGCCCUCAAAGUAGUUUGAACUAAUAUCUAUGCUAGAACUAAAAGGAUCAAAUCUCAAAGAUAAAUUUGGAAGUUUACCCUUGAUAUGAUUGUUAGAGAGAUUGAAAUCAGCUAUUGUAUGGGAUAGAUCCCAAAACCAAUCGGGGACAGUAUCUGAGAUUCCAGCAUCGGAGAUAUCAAGUACCUCAAUUUGAUUUUGAGUUUGAAGCCAUUUUGGAAAAUGAGGCCCCAUCUGACAUGAGCCGAGAAGUAUAAUGAUUAGCUGAAAGGGAGGAAUCCAGUCAUGGCUGAAUUUCAAUGUGAAAGAGUUAUCAUCUAAAUGCAAUGCCUUUAAGUUGGAGAGUUCUGAAAACACAGAUUCAGUGACAACACCGGUUAACGAAUUCCCAGAAAGUGACAGAGCAUCAAGCUUGUACAUGCGGCUGAGCCAUUGGUUUAUAGUCCCAUUUAAACCAUUUUUUCCAAGAAACAAUUCUUUCAAGAUGAAAAUCCUCCAAGAUCAGGUAUUGGCCCCGCGAUAUCAUUGUGAGCUAAAUUCAGCCACUCCAGGGAAUUGUUCAUGCAUCCACCAGACAGAUUUUGAAUGAAGUCCCAGAGCUGUCCACUGAGUUUAUUGGAUGACAAAUCUAACGUAUUUAAACUACACAUGUUUCCGAAGAAUUGUGGAAUCCCACCUUCAAGUUCAUUAAAUCCGAGAUAGAGAGUUCGAAGAGAAACCAUGCGAUCAAAAGGCUCUAGAAGCGAACCUUGUAAUAGGUUAGAAUCCAGGUCAAGAACAACAAGCUUGCUACUAAUAUUGAACAACCAAGGGUAUAUUGAAGAAGAGAGACUGUUUUCAAAUAGAUAAAGGGCCCCAAGUGAUGAUGUACUAAAAUUAAGGUGCAAAAGAUCGGAUGGAAUGAUAGGUGGAAGAUGACAAUGCUCUAGAUUCAAAGUUCUUAGGGACGGGAGCUUGUCAAUUAUGCGAAGCCAGUCACGGGAUUUAUUGAGGUUAAUAUAACUCAGGUCAAGAUAUUUCAGUCUUGAAAGGUUUCCAAGCUGAGAAGGGAUUGGUCCUUCAAACUCAGCAGACGAAAGACUGAGGUACCUCAAUUUGUUGAGGGAACCAAUGAACUCUGGGAUUCGACUUCCGCUGAAGUCAUUUUCACUAAGGUCCAAAUGUCUUAAAUGAUACAAUUUAAGCAAAGAAGGGCUGAUUGUACCUUUCAAAGGCUCUGAGUGAACCAAUACUUGAAGAUCGAGAACAAUAACGUGGCCCGUUGUGUUGCUACAGCGGACUCCUCUCCAGUAACAGCAAUCUCUUUUGUCAUCUUCCCUUCCCCAAGAGGACAGAAUGCCGUAUUCAUCCACCAGGCUCUGCUUGAAUUCCAGUAGUGCUUCUCUUUCCUCUUCCAUGCACCUUAUCACGUUAUUAGAAUCUGCAACUCUUGGCUGAAUAUUGAGCAGAAUCGCACAAAAGGAAAUAAAAUGUACGAGGAAACAUUGAGCUGACAUUGUUAACAUUAACAUUAAUUGAAAAGAUAUGGCAAUUACAACUACUCGUUUGAUUUAUAUAGUAGCUAGCUGUAGGCCUAUAGCUUGUCUUUCUCAACAUUAGUGUUUAGUUAAUUCGCUCAAUAACUUUUGCAAAAGCAAUUUGCUUCUUCUUCUUCUUAUUAUUAUUAUUAGGGAAAUUAUCAUUUUACUACUAAAGUUUUACUGACAUAUCUUGUCAGUACCAAGAUUUGCCGAAAAAUAUAUUUUAUUACCAAAGUUUUGCGCCGUUAUCAAUUCCCUACUAUUCCUUUAAGAAAAAGUUAAUGUUUAACGGAAAUUGAGUUAAAAGUCGAUUUUACCCCUAAGAGUUUGAUAGUAAAAUGAUAAUUUUCCUAAAAAUUUGAUAGUAAAAUGAUCAUUUAUCUAUUAAAUUAACAGACAAUUUUACUCUUACAGCUGAAAAUGUCUUUGAUGCCCUUAUAACAUUAGCAAAUUUUUAACGUUGUUAACGGAAUGGUAGUGAAUUAAUAUCGGUGCCAAACUUUGAUAGUAAAAUACACUUUUCGUCAAAUCUUGGUACUGACAUGAUAUGUCAGUAAAACUUUAAUAGUAAAAUAAUAAUAUCCCUUAUUAUUAUUUUUUCUCUAUUCUACUUUAUGAAUAUUGGAAAAAGCAGACUUUGGCCCAUGACAAUGCAAAUGCAAUGCCCUGCGUUUCCGUCAGCCUUGAAAAUUAAUGAUGUGAUCAUAAUUCAUUCAAAUUCAUGUGAAACGCAGACUUAUUUGAAUUUGAAUGAAUUGUGCUGAACUUUUAUAUAUUUUGUGUUACACAUGCAUUUCUAAAUAUUAAUGAUGUGAUCAUAAUUUAUCUAUUGUUUUAAUUUUUUAAUUUAGUUUUUAUUUUUAUUUUUAUAUUUUAUUAUUAUAGGAAUAUUUGGAAUACUCAAGUGAAAGGGAGCUUAAAAAAAAAACAAAUUAUAGUUUAUGGAAAUAAUUGCUGCUUGUGAAGAAUAAAAAGAAAGAGGAAAAAGGAUGCUUAAAGGAGAACAAUUGGCAUUUUAUAUGUGCAACUCACGUGAAUAGUUGGAAAAACAUUGACCAUUGAUUCAAGUGGGCUUCACGUGUAUGGGCUUAAAGUCGGUUGAGCUUGACUUGUUUUAAAUCCUUUUCAUUUGAGUAUUUUGUGGUGGUGUUACAAUAUAAAAAGAAGAACUAGAAGAAAGCAGCGGAAACAAGAAAAAUUGAAGAGGGCAGCCGCAAAACUGAGAGAAAAACCGAGAGCAAGAAGAAAAGAAAAAAAAAAAAAAAAGAGAAGCCGCCGCUGCAAAUUCGGGAGCAACAAUUUGGAAAAGUUAAUUGCAGAGAUUGGAGAGAGACAACUUUUUGAGCUUAUUCUUUCUCUUCUUUUUUUUUAUUAUCUUGCUUGAAUGUUAGCAAUUAAAUUUAUAAAUUCUCUUUAUAUUUUCAUAAAUUAAUUUAUUUUACUAGGGCUACGAUGUAGCCUAACUAUGAAGAUUUAAUUCUAUAAAUAUAUGUUAUUUUUAGUUUAUUAUUCCAUAGUUGAAUGUUCAUUAUUCUACUUAAUACUUUUAAACAUUUGACUAAUAUUUGAAUGAUUUGAGGAUACAUAAUGAGAUCGAGAGAAUAUUUAUUUAUUUUUGUUCUGUGUAAUGGAUGUCAUGAAUUGAACGAAAGAUAGAGAUGUGCCAAUGUGAUUCAUGCAGUUUUUCUAAGAAUUUCCAUAGAGUUUAAUGGAUCUUUGGAUAUUUAAAUUCACAUAUAGAUAUAAUGGGUUAAUAUGUGAGGGUAUUCUUGAUAUUACUCGAGAGAGGAUAUUGAAUAGAUUAGGGAACUUUAUUGUCAACAUGAGUAAUAAACUUUAAUAGCAUAGAUGGAUGAUUAAAUUGGAUUGGUUAUGGUGAAAUCGAAUGUCCUAGUGUUUUAAUCUCUUGGUGAUUUCGAUUACUGCUUGCAUAUUUAUUUAGUUUUUAGUUAUUUUAUUUUAUUUUAAUUUUUAAUCUAAAUUCGCCUAUCUGAUUGUUCAAAUAAAUUAGGGUUAGAAUAAUUUCGGUAGGUAAUAAAAUAUACAAUCUCUGUGGGACGAUAUUCUACUUUUCAUUAUAUUACUUGUGCUGACUAGUAUACUUGAUAAUUUAUGCAUAAAGUUUUGGCGUUGUUGCCAGGGAUUGUUUAGAUUAAUAUCGAUACCAACUAACCUUAGUUUAAUUUGAAUUUGAAUUUUAUUGUUUUUAUUUUUAUUUUUGUUUUCUUGUUUAAUUUUAUGAGACGUUCAAGAAGUUUUGAUUUAUUGCCUUUUGAUACAAAGAUUGAAUGCACUUGUAAAAGGCUUAAUAGAGAAAAGAGAGAAGCUUUAUAAGAGCAACAACUAAUCAUGGCUGAUGAAUCAUUACAGGAAAAUGAGGAUGCAAGACUUUUAAGAGAUUAUGGUAUUCCUACAGUUAAUGGUACUCGCUCAAGCAUUGCACGCCCUGCCGGUCAAGCCAAUAAUUUUGAAAGUAAGUAAGCCAUAAUCUAGAUGAUUUAGACGUCAGUACAAUUUGUUGGGAUGUCGAAUGAUGAUCCAAAUGCUAAUUUGCAAAUUUCUUGGAAAUUUAUGACACAUUUAAGCAAAAUUGUGUUUCAGACAAUGCUUCAGGCUAAGGCUUUUUCCGUUCUCACCGAGGGAUAAAACAAAAGAGUGGUUAAAUUCACUCCCUAAUGGAACAAUCACUACAUAGGAUGGUUUAGUGCAGAUGUUUUUAAUAAAAUACUUUUCUCCAGCAAAAACAGCUAAGUUGAGGAAUGACAUCACAACCUUUGCUCAGUUUGAGCUAGAAUCAUUAUAUGAAGUAUGGGAGAGAUACAAAGACCUAUUAAAAAAUGCCCACAUCACGGUCUACCAGUUUGACUUUAGGUACAAAUAUUUUACAAUGGUUUGGGAUCCAAUACCAGAACAAUGAUCGAUGCUGCAGCAGCAGGAACACUAAUGGGAAAAACACCAGAAGCAACUUAUGAAUUAUUGGAGGAGAUGACCUCUAAUAAUUACCAAUAGUUUUCAGAGCAAUCAAUGCCAAGGAAAACUGCAGGAGCCCAUAAUUAGAGCUGGCAAAAUGGGUCAACGGGUCGUGUCAAAUUUAGGUCGACCCAAACCGAACCCAUUUAAUAAUUAUGUCAAAAUAUUAAGACCCAAAUCCGACAUGAAAAAAUAAUCUGGUUACUCAAUAACCCACUUAAUAUCUAUAUAUUAAACAAAAUUUACAUCAAAUAUCUAUAUACUAUUGUACAUACAUAAAUACAUAUAUAAUUUAUUGAUAUUAUAAAAUGUACAUAUCUACAAAAAUAUUACACAUUGACACUAUUGAAGUUUUAAUUUUGUAUUUAUAUAAUAUUUUAUAUUGAUAUUAUAAAAUAUACAUGUCCAACAAUAUUUUACACAUUUACAUUCUUGAAGCUCUUAAUGUAUAUAAAAUUUUAUAAAUAAAAUACAAUGUUUAUAUUUAUCUUUUCAAAAAAAUAAAAGAGAGAAUUAUAUCUAAUAUUUUAGUUUUGAUAACAAGAAUCUACAAAUUAUUUUAAAAUAAAAAAUAUAAUCGGGUUAAAGAUCAGAUAAAUGGGUCAAGAACUUUAACUCUAACCCGACACGAAAAAAAUAGUGUCGACCCGGUCCCAAUCCAUUUAAUAAUCAUCUUAAAUUUGACGACCCAUACCCAUUCAUUCGUGUCGUGUUCGUGUCGGGUAAUCGGGUUAUGUCAAAUUUUGCCAGCUCUACCCAUAAUAUUGAUGUUGUCACUGCUUUAUCUGCACAAAUGAGUGCUUUAUUUAAUAACCUGGAGCAUCUAAAUGUCAAUGCUAUUCAAACUCAAGUGUGUGAAUUAUGCGGAAGGAAUCAUACCAGUGUCAACUGCCAAGUUAUAAGUCCUUUUACAUCAUCAUCUGCUGAACAAGCUCAUUAUGUGUCGAACUUCCAAAGGCAACAAAAUAACCCAUAUUAUAAUACCUACAAUCCUAGCUGGAUAAACCACCCGAAUUUAUCAUGGAACAACACUCAAAAUACAUUAAAGCCAUCUCCAGGGUUCCAAUCACAAGAAAAGAAGUCAAAUUUAGAAGAUGACCUUACCCAUCUUACAACAAAUACAUUUUAAAAUCAAGCUGCAUCAAUCCGAAACCUCGAGGUGCAAAUGGGUCAGAUUGCAAACUUGUUAUCCAGCAAACCACAAGACUCUCUGCCGAGCAAUACAGAGACAAAUCAAAAGGAACAAAUGAAUGCAAUUAUGCUUCGGAACGAUAGACAACUUGAAGAUCAGUCAAAGGAAGUAAAGGAAGUUGAAGAAGAUAACAUGGAGCAAAUUAAGGACAUUACUAGAACAUUCGAGACAACAAGUGCAGAAAUUCCACAAUCACAAAAAUCAGCUCUAGUCAAAGCCUAUGUUCCUCCGAUCCCGUUUCCUCAAUGCCUUUAGAAAAACAAAUUAGAUAAGUAGUUUUCUCAAUUUCUUAAUUUUUUUUAAAAAGUUGCAUAGUAACAUCCCUUUUGCAGAUGCAUUAGAACAAAUGCCGAGCUAUACUAAAUUCAUGAAAGAAAUUUUAUCCAACAAGAGGAAAUUAAAAGAGCAUGAAACAAUGUUGUUAACUAAAGAGUCCACUAUAAUUUUACAAAAUAAAUUGCCACCGAAGUUGAAAGAUCCAGGAAGUUUUUCUAUCCCAUGCACUAUUGGAAAUACUUAUUUUGAUAAAGCUUUGUGUGAUUUAGGUGCAAGUAUUAAUUUGAUGCAUUUGAUGCCUCUAUCAGUUUUCUGGAAAUUAGGACUCGGUGAACCAAAGGUAACAACUGUUUCUCUUUAAUUGGCAGACAUGUCUAUAAAGUAUCCCAGAGGCAUGAUUGAGGACGUACUUGUUAAGGUCAACAAGUUUAUAUUUCCUACAUAUUUUAUUGUUUUGGAUAUGAAUGAAGAUUGGGAGAUACCAAUUAUUUUAGGUCGACUAUUCCUGGCCACGGGAAGAACUCUUAUUGAUGUCCAAGAAGAAAAACUAAUUUUUAGGGUGCAAGAUGAACAAGCCACUUUCAAUGUGUUCGAAUCAAUGAAAUAUCCAUCCGAGAUUGACACAUGCUUUCAAAUAGACACCAUUGAUAAAAAGAUAAUUGAGAGCGUUCGCAAUACAAUGCUGAAUGACUCAUUAGAAGGAUGUAUUGUUCACUUUGGGACUACUCAAUCUACGAAUAUAAGCAUUCAGAAGUAUGCAUGUUAUUUGGAAGCCUCACCAUUUUACUUACUUUAAAAAAAGCCAGAAUUAGAGGAGCUUGGUAGAAGUCCUUUUUGACCAAAACCUUCAAUAGAAGAACCUCUAAAACAUGGGCUUAAGCCUUUGCCCUCUCAUUUAAGGUAUGCUUUUAUUGAUGAUAACUUUAAGCUACUAGUUAUUAUUUUUUCUGGCAUGACAGAUCUUAAAGAGGAAAAACUACUUUGAGUUUUAAGGGACCACAAAACUAUUCUAGGAUGGACUAUUUCCGACAUAAAAGGAAUAAGCCCCUCAAUUUGCAUGCACAAAAUUCUAGUGGAGGAGAGUUAUAAGCUGACGGUAUAGCCAUAAAGGCGCCUAAAUCUGAACAUGCAAGAAGUGGUUAGGGCAGAUGUGCUUAAAUUAUUGGAUGUUGGGAUAAUUUAUCCAACCUUUGAUAGUUCAUGGGUCAGUCCAAUGCAAGUGGUACCAAAGAAGGGAGGAAUGACGGUUGUAAAGAAUGAUAAUAAUGAACUUGUUCUGACAAGAACAGUCACAGGUUGACGGGUAUGAAUGGAUUACAAAAACUUAAUGCUGCUACUAGAAAAAACCACUUUCCACUGCCUUUUAUUGAUCAGAUGUUUGAGAGACUUACUGGCCAUGCCUACUAUUGCUUUUUAGAUGGAUAUUCAGACUAUAAUCAAAUCCCUAUAGCACCAGAAGAUCAAGAGAACUACAUUCACAUGUCCUUAUAGAACAUUUGCUUAUAGAAGAAUGUCAUUCGGCUUAUGCAAUGCACUAACCACCUUUCAGCUUUGCAUGAUGGCUAUAUUUUCUGAUAUGGUGGAGAUAUUUAUUGAGGUGUUUAUGAAUGAUUUCUCAGUUUUUGGAUCUUCAUUUGAUCAUUGUUUGAAUUAUUUAGUUCUAGUUUUGCAGUGAUGCGAGGAGACCAACUUAGUUCUGAAUUGGGAAAAAUGUCACUUUAUGGUGCAAGUGAGCAUUGUACUGAGUCAUCGUAUUUCAGCUAAAGGAAUUGAAGUUGAUAGAGCGAAGAUCGAAGUCAUUGAAAAGUUGCCACCACUGACUUAUGUGAAAGUUGUAAGAAGUUUUCUUGGGCAUGUUAGGUUUUAUCGACGUUUUAUUAAAAAUUUUUCAAAGAUAACAAAACCCUUAUGCAACCUUUUACUCAAUGAUGUGCCUUUCAGUUUUACCGAUGAGUGUUUGCAAGCUUUUAACACUUUAAAAGAGAAACUGAUUUCAGCUCCAGUUAUUAUGACUCCAUAUUGGGAUCUACCUUUCGAGGUUAUGUGUGAUGUAAGUGAUUAUACUAUUGGAGUAGUUUUGGGACAACGACAUAAAAACAUGUUGCAUGUUAUUUACUAUGCAAGUUAAACUUUGGGAGACGCGCAAUUGAAUUAUACUACUACUGAGAAAGAGUUUUUGGCCGUUGUAUUUGCACUUGAAAAAUUCUGCUCAUAUUUGAUUUGCUCUAAGAUGAUAGUUUACACUGAUCAUUUAGCUCUCAAGUAUCUAUUCACAAAAACAUAUGCAAAACCAAGACUGAUCCGUUGGGUGCUCUUAAUACAAGAAUUUGAUUUAGAGAUUCGGGAUAGGAAAGGAUUUGAAAAUCUGGUGGCAGAUCACUUAUCUUGGUUAGAGUAUGAAGAGUGAGGGGAUAAUGUAAUGGUUUCAAUCACUAAAGAAUUUCUUGAUAAAAAGCUGUUGGCUCUUCAAACUUGUGACGCACCAUGGUAUGCAGAUUUUGUGAACUAUUUGGUGAGCAUCAUUGUUCCGUCUGAUUUAUCAUAUCAACAUAAGAAGAAAUUCCUCUCAGAUGUAAAAUAUUAUUUUUGGGAAGAUCCAUUCUUGUAUAAGUAUUGUUCAGACCAAAUCAUUCGACGAUGUGUCCUAGAAGAAGAGAUAAGAAAUAUUCUACAGUAUUGUCAUUCUCAUGAAGUUGGUGGACAUUUUGACGCAACCAAAACUGUGGCAAAAGUGCUUGAAUCAGGUUUUUAUUGGCCCACCUUAUUUAAAUAUGCUUAUACUUUUGUUGCUGCUUGUGACCGAUGUCAAAGAACUGGUAACAUUUCAAGGAAGAACGAAAUGCCACUAACUAAUAUUCUUAAAGUAGAAUUGUUUGAUGUCUGAGAAAUUGAUUUCAUCGGUCUGUUUCCAUCUUCCUUCAAGAAUAAAUAUAAUCUAGUAGUUGUUGAUUAUGUUUCUAAAUGGGUUGAAACUGUUACUUUGCCUUCUAAUGAUGCUCGGGUUGUUGUGAAUUUUAUGAAGAAAACUAUUUUCACACGGUUUGGCACUCCAAAAGCAAUUAUAAAUGAUAAUGGGAAACAUUUUUACAAUCAGCAAUUUGAAGCCUUCUUGAGCAAAUACGGAGUCACACAUAGAAUUGCCACCCCUUACCAACCACAAACUAGUGGCCAAGUUGAAGUUUAUAAUUGGGAAUUAAAAAGAAUUUUAGAGAAAACAGUAAAUGCAUCACGGAAAAAUUGAUAAAAAAAAACUAGAUGAUGCACUCUAGGCGUAUCAAACAACUUUCAAAACACAUGUUAGUAUGUCUCCUUAUCGUCUAGUAUUUGGAAAGGCAUGUCAUCUACCUGUUGAACUUGAGCAUAGGGCAUAUUGGGCUAUGAAGAUUUUGAACUUUGACAUGCAAGCAGCAUGAGAAAAGAGAUUGUUGCACCUUAAUGAAAUGGAUGAAUUUUGCAAUGCAGCUUAUGAGAAUGCUCGAAUCUAUAAAGCCCGCACUAAACAUUGGCAUGACAAAUAUAUACUCGGACAUGAAUUUCAGGUUGGCCAAAAGUUUUGCUGUAUAAUUCUCGACUUCGACUCUUCACAGGCAAGUUGCAAUCCCGUUGGUCUGGUCUUUUUACAAUAACACAAGUCUUUCCAUCUGGUGUGGUUGAAGUUUCUCAUGAUACAAAGGGCACAUUCAAAGUUAACAGUCAUCGAUUGAAGCCCUAUCUGGAUUAUGCAUUUGAUAAGCACAAGAUAGCUAUUGAGCUGUCUUGUCCUGAACGAUGACCAGAGACAGUCAAGCUAAUGGCUAUAAAUUAAGCGCUUCUUAGGAGGUAACCCAAGCUUUCUAAACUUUAUUAUUGUCUUUUUUUUUUAUCUUUCCUUAUUUCUUUUGUCUUUGCUUUUACUUAUUUUAUUUUGUUUAAGGAUUUUGUACAAGUUUGGGGGUCGAUGAACAUCAACUUUUCACAUACCUUUCAACAACUCAGCUACAACUUUACAUUUUCAAGUGCAAAACCGGGGGAGUUUCUCUUUUUCUUUUCUUUUUCUUUACAUUGAGGACAAUGUGUAUUUUAAGUUUGGGGGUGGGAAUAUUUGCUUUGCUUUUAAUUUUUUUUUAAAAAAAUAAAAAAAUUAAUGCCUAUGAUGAGUUUAUGAUUGAAAAUGAAAUAUGGUUCUUAGAAAGAGAUGAAUAUUGUCUUAGUUUAUACUUGAUUCUUGUGUUAGUUUUCGUCUUGAUUAUGAUUCUUUAAAUAUUUUGCGCACUUAUAUCGAUUCUUUCAAAAUUUUGACUUGAGAUUUGAGAUUGAUACAGUCUGAGUUAAGAAUUUUAGAUUGAGUAAAUGACUAUUUACCUUGAUUCUACUUUACUUAAGUUUAUCCAGGCACCAUAGUCAAAAAUAGCAAAUGCAAGUGAAGCUAUUUGAGAGAUUUGAGAGAGCUUUUACUUGAGUGUUCUAGUGAGGGUUUUGGGUGUUGAGAGUUUUUUCUAAUUUUGUAAAUUCUCAUUUGUUGGUAAAAUUAUUUUUCAGUCUUUGUCCGUGGACGUAGGCUUUAUGCUUAAUCACAUAAAUUAUUGUGUCAUAUUUUCUUUGCAUUAAUUUGUUAUAUUUAUAUUUUUCUAAAAGUUGCAGUCGCUAUAAUAUUAGGCAACACAUUGGACAAAUUGGUUGAGUCAUUUAAAAGAGGAUGUGUGACUCCGUUGGGAUAGUCAUAGAAAUAAUGAAGUAUGCACAAAAGUUCCAUAUAAUUUUUGUUUUGUAAUUCAAUAUUUUUCGUCUCGUGCAUUUUUUUCCUUUCUUAACUUUUGAGUAUGUAUAAACUAUUCGAGUAAAAAAUAACCUAUGUGAUUCUUUUUUGUUCUUUUGAAAAUAUAUGUUGAUCUUUUUUCUUUAAUUUGGAAUAUUAACAAUUGUUUGUCAAUCAAUGGCUUUCCUUUACUAUUCUUAAUAGGCUCAAAGGCUAAUUGCCAAAGGAUUUUUUUUUUCUUUUUAUAUGCUUUUGAGCUAGGGUUGGGUGUAGAGCUUAAUUAUAAUUUUUAACUCUCUAUCUCUAUAAGUUGAACUAGAACUAAUCAAAUAAAGAGGAUGAAAGUUACUCUUCAUGCCCGAGGAGGUCACGUAACUACAAAAAAAUUUAAUCUAAGUUGUAAAAAAGUACGUGAAUUUUCUGUCAACUAUUUUUUUCGUAGUCAUGCAAAUAUAAGGUAACGAUAAAUAGCAUGUGAUUGUCAUGUAAUUAAAAUGUAAAAUUAAUUAAUUUUUCUUAGCAUACUCUCCGUCGUCUAAGUUUAAUGUACUAAUGAGUAGAGAUAGACAAACUCAAUUCAACUCAACAAAUCCGAUUUAAUUCAAUUUAAACAAGGGUUAUUAUGAGUCAUUUUUUUAUAGUUUAUUUUUAAUAUCACAAAAAGAAAAAGAAAAAAAACUCUUUAUCUUCUCGUAUUCGUUGCAUUAAAUAUUUUGAAAUCACUUCCACCAAUAUUCCACCAAAUUAUUAGUAGAGAAUGACCUGUUAGCUCCUCAGCACUUAAACCUUUAGUGCAUGGGUUCAAGUCCUAACCAUUCGUGGAAGAAUAGAUAUAAAAAUUAAUAAUCUGGAUAGAUUUUUUAUUUUAAAUAUCAGUACAAUUCUAAUUGUGAUAUAUAUAUAUAUGUUCUCUUUUUGUCCUUUGUGUGAAUAAAAAAUAUUAUUGUUUCACUCGAUUAAAAUAAUCAGAAACAAACAAUAGCAUAAUCGGAACAAAUAGCAUAUAACACAAGAAAGUAAUCCAAAUAAUUAUGUCAGUGGUAUUGUACAAAUAAAUGUGACUUACUUAAACAAAGUAUUAACGCUUACACGUCAAAAUAAGUACUACCGAUAUUUGAAGCAGAAAUUUGAAAAGAAUGAAACAAAAGCCUUGAGACACCCAUUAUUAUGUUGGUAAUUUCUAGUUAAUGAUGCAUGGAGUUACAAACUCAGAUUGCUGAUCCAGAUAACUGGAUCCUUAUCAACGGAACAUAAAUAAAAUGUCGCCUGUAUACAUCAAGCAUCUACGUACAUUUAAUUGGGAGAAUGACGGUCUGGUACAAUUUUUUCAGUAGAGCUUGUUCGCCUAAAGGGCUACACAUAAUGUAAUUUUGAUGAUAACAAACAUGUGUUUUAAGUGAUUUAAUAAAUAUUGUAUUUCACAUUUUCACUAGUUUUUUAAGGAUAAUAUUUAUGCAAAUGAAUUAAGUGAAAUUAAGUUGAAGACACUCAACGGAUACCGGCGAAAUCAAGAAUAAAGUUUAGAGCUCAACGGAUAAAUUAUUGCGAUAAAUUCUUGUAAAACCGAUAUGAUUUAAUUGAUGCAUGAUUUAACAUUUGAGAAGCUCAAGAGAUUCAUUUAAAUAAUUACUUUUUAUAAACUAAAAUAUUUUAUUUUUAUAAGGUAGAGUAUUUUGUGGAUUUGAGUAAUUUGGACUUAAAUGAAAAGUUUUGUAAUCUUUGAAUUUAAAAAGUAUUAUUUUGAAUUUCGGAGUUGGACUUUUUUACAAACAUUUGAAAUAUUUUAAGCCAUACUAUAAUUUAUGAAAGUUUGAGGAGUCAAAUAUAAUCCAAACAUUUGAAAUCUAAAAUUGGACAGAGAGUGAGCGGCUAACUGCCUGAGGCUAGGGGCUUGCCGCCCGAGGAAAAUCUCAUAUUUUCAAAUUUUGGACUAAAGUGAAAGAUUUUGAAAACUUUAAAAAAUAUGAGUAUUAUGUUAAAUUUUGAAAAGGACUUCUUUAAAAAAUACUAUUAUAUUUGUGGCUAUAUCAUAAUUUUAAAAAGUCUUAGGAAUGACAAGCAUUAUUUAGAAAUUCUGAAAUUGGACCUAUUUGUAAAGUUUUAUAACGUUUUGAGCUAUAGUAUAAUUAUAGAAAGUUUUAGGCCAAAAUAUAAUUUUGAUUAACAUUGUUACUGUAGUAAAAUUCAAAUUUAACAAUAAUAUCACUGUUAUGAGUGGCUAGCCGAAUAAAUCAAGCGGCUAACCGCUUGAUUGCGGGAAUUUGCCUAUAACGGCUAAUUUUUGAGCCUUAACUAUAAAAACUCAACUUCAACUUUAUUUUAAGGACUAAUACAACCAUAAACAAGAUCAUAUAACACAUAUUGAGCUUCGAUUUCGCAAAUCAUCAUUUAUUGAAUCAUUAUUGUGCUAUUAUUUGCAUAUCCACUCUUAAAGAGAGUUUUUGUUGUAAUUUUCAUUUAUUAUCAAAUUGUGAGUGUACAAAUGUGAGAAACACUUGGAGUGAAGAGAUUGAGGAGAUGAUCUCUUGAUUGUAAAGGUUCAUUGACACCUUAAAAGUCAAUUGUAAGAACUUGAAGUCUUGGGAGGCUUGAAUACUGAAAUCCUCAAGUUUGGUUGGUUUGGAGGCGUGGACGUAGGCGGGGAUUGCUGAACCACGUAAAAAUCCUUGUGUUUGUUUUCUCUUCCCUUACUCUUUUAUUAUUGUGCUAUAUUGAAUUUAUUAUUUUUGCAUUUGAUUAAGACAAUAGAUUAAAUUGUUGUGCGAAUUGUUUGGCAUAAAAUUUAAAAUCUCAAUUCACCCCCCCUCUUGAGUUGCAUAACUUGCAUUUCAAAGCUUUUACAAGUAAAGUUUUUACGAGUAGAACUUUUGAUAAAAAGUUGUUGAGUAUUUAGUUGUCAAUUAAAAAAACUUUUUUGACUUAAUCUACAUCAAGCUAAAUAAUUUUGCUUAAUUAAUUUGUGUAGUAAACCACUACUGUUAUAGAAAAUUAAAUAAAAAAGUUUAUAAAUGUCAUAUAAUGAAUAUAAAAUUUAUAGUUAAAACAAUUCAAUUGAACUUAUUUCACUUGUUUUUAGUACAAAUUCUUGUUUCCAAUUGAUGAGCGAUUUUUCUUUGUUUAACUAAAACAAAUGAAUAAAUUAUUUUUUAUUAAAAUUUUGUAGAACCAGGUAGUUUUUUUUAUUAAUUUACUUGUUUUCACAUUUUAUUUACUAGUUUUAUAUAUAAUUUAUAAAAUUUAUGUUCAUCACAGCAUUUUAGAAAUUUUCAAUCGGAUGACAUAGCAUUUCAUGACGGUCGCGAUGUUUUCCUUAUGUACAAUUUAUAAUGGCAAUAACAUGUACUUGCCGUAUAUGAAUGGUCAUAAUGACAUAUUGAUUUUAGCUCAUAGUGGUUCCAUUGUCUUAAUUGAGAAAAUCUUCUACAUAAUCAUCAAAAUUCUUGAGAAUUAUCUUGUGACUUUUAUAAUAAGUAACUGCUCAUUUAUUUAACCAUACGAGUUUAAAUUAUUGGAGAAGAUAGCAACUAAAAAUUAAUAUGGGCUUUGCCAACACCAAUUGCUUUGUGUAGUCUUCACGAUAUAAUAAUCAAACUACGUGCAUUUUUUCCCUCUCCCGUUCCCUCUUUUUGACUCUUCGACAUUCGUGAAAAAUAACAACGCCGGUAUUCACACAAAGGGGAGCACAAAACUUUGCACAAAAUGGUGCGUUUUGUGCAAAGUAUAAAAUGUCUCUACUGGUGCAAUGAGCACCUCACAUACACAACAAACGCGCCCAAAGUUUACGCGUCUGACUCUUUUCUUUUUCCCUCAUUACACUGCUUUUCUUUUCUCCUUCAUCGUAACUCUUUCUCUCUUGUCUCCAAGCUGCAAGCUGCUGCCAUAAGCUCCACCGCAGCAGCCGUUUUCUCCCGUCUCCACGCAGUUGCCUUAUUCCCAACAGUACAACAACAAGUCUCUUUGCUCUCAUACCCUCACAUACACAACUGGCUCAUCUAAUGAAUCGAUCUGUUAACAUCAGUUGGGUUUUGAAGGUGGGUUAUGAAGAAGUGAUUCAAGGCGAUCAAACUUCACUCCAACUUCCAAAAGCUUGAAUCUAGCAAUAAUGUCAUCACUGAGCCUUUGUUGUUGUUGUUCUCGGCUUUUGUUCUUAACUUUGCCAUCUAUCUCUUCUGUUUGGGAGAGAUACUGUUUGGGAUAAAUAUGUCGACGAGACCAGGAAUGACGAGCAGAUAUCGGAUGGCAGAGUUCUGCGAACCGGUGUGUUUCGUGAAAGCCUGGUGCGCGGAAGAACAGGAGCAGAAAUAUCCUGUUCGUCCACGAUGUUGUCAUCCGCGAGGCCAAUUUCCUAUAAGAGGCAUACGGCCAUUCCGGCUAGAGGUCGAUAGGCGAGGAGACCCGGUCGACAGCAGUUGGCAAGACAUGCUCUCCAGCCCGAGAAUCUAGGCACGACAGCCACGCUUUCCCCUGAACCGUGGCGUAACACGCAAGAUCUCACAGAACCACGACAGCCACGCUUUCCCCUGAACCGUGGCGUAACACGCAAGAUCCCACAGAACCACGACAGCCGCGCUUUCCCCUGAACCGUGGCGUAACACGCAAGAUCACACAGAACCCCGACAGCCACGCUUUCCCCUGAACCAUGGCGUAACACGCAAGAUCCCACGUUUGCCCAUAACGCUGCAGUCAGAGCCCCAGACCGUCUCGAGAAAAGCGAAAAACGGGGAUUCAGAGGAAGCCUAUAAAAAGGUAGCCAACGAAGGUAAAAGGGUUGGCAUUUUUGAGAUAAAAGAAAAAAACCACGAAAAAAGCCACAAGACCAGUGGCAAGCGUUCCCCGAACCUUGAUAUCUGACUUGAUCGUCGGAGGGUUUGCGCCGGGAGAACAACCGGCGUACUCUGACUUGUCUGUGUGUGCAGGGAUAUCUGGAGAAGAAGCAUUACUAGGAGACCUCCUGGUCGUGGGGAAGUUGAUCGAGCAGAGAUCCUGGUCGUAUAACGAGGAGAACUGGAAUCUCGCAUCAACAUUUUGGCGCCGUCUGUGGGGAUCCAGAGCAAAAAGCUUCUGUUGAUAGCAAGAAGAGGGGUGAAGUAAGCGAAAAGCAAUGGAGACAGGAGGAAGUAGUGCAUAAGGGGGUGAUAUGAGGCUUAACGAUUCCAUGACGCUGAGGGAGAUAGUCAGCGAAGCACGGGAAAAAGUCAUGUUCGACCGGAUGGAACGGAUGGAAAAGCAGAUGGAGACCUUGACAACCAUCCUGCAUGAGCUGCGGAGCGAGCGAAGGGUAACCCAAGAGGGAAGGGUGAGAGGUGGUGGAGUGGCACCAGGUCCCGAUAGUGCGGGGAGAAGUCAAACCACAGGGAGACACGGUGGUGAGAGGGGUAACGUACCUCUACGGGGAGAAUUUCAUAGAGAAAGAGAGCGGUCCCCGGCAAGACAGACUUGUGAACCGGACGACGGGGUGGUGAAUGCAGAGGAAACAGAGUUGAUGCAACACUUGCAAGAUGUAGAGCAAGAGCGGGAUCAAGUUGCAGCACGUGACCCUGGUCGUGCAGGGCAGCUGGAGGAGGAAGUGCGCAGACUAGCGCAGAUAAUUGACGACAUGCAAGGGAGGAACAGAGCCCCUGGUUGGAGGAUAAUGCUGGACGGAGAAUCGCCGCUCGCAGCGGAGAUCAUGAGGGCAGUUAUUCCGAGAGAUUUCCGCCUCCCCGACCUCAGAUACUCGGGAAGAACUGAUCCGCUGAUGCACAUAGAGCGCUUCAACGACAUAACUGGGGUACAAGGACUAUCUCAACCCCAAAGGUGCAGGGUGUUCCCACUAUCCCUCGAGGGACGUGCACGAGAAUGGUACAGGAAACUUCUUCGGGGCAGCAUUAAAACCUUCGAGCAGAUGUGCCAGGAAUUCGCAGAGCAGUUCAGUGGGGCGAUGUCACCGGAAGAUGACAUGAUGGAGCUGAAAAGCAUGAAACAGGGGGAGCAAGAAACCCUUCGGGAAUUCAUCAAGAGGUUUCAUCGGGCUGUCCUCGACUUGGGAGCCUUCAACCACCCUCAGGCGUUAAGGGGAUUGAAAGAAGGGGUGAAGAUAGGAAGGCUGUGGUACAAUUUGAGAAGCCCAGCUAUUCAAACGUAUGCGGCCGCAUACGAGCAGGCUAAAAGAGACAUCGAGAUUGAAGAGGAGAAGGCUGCACGGAUCAAGACAGACCAGUUAGAAGGGUUGGGGAGGAAAGAGAAGAAAGCAUUACCAGGGAAUGGGCCGAUCAGGAGAAGGGACCACCAGGCCUCCGGUAGUGGAGCAGGAGGUAGGGUCACCGCUUACCAGCCUCAUCAGAGGCCACCACAGUAUCAGCACAGCAGGGCGCAACCUCCUCGUCCCCCAGCUAGGGAACCUUGCACAAGAAAUGAUCCGGCAUCUGGUGGUCUUCAUCAACAUUCCCACGGUGGCAGGACGAGCAGACCAGAAGUACUUCCACCGCCCCCAACUCAGAGCGGGGCAAACAGAGAAAGAGCAGUGCAUCUGAUCGACCAGAACCAGGACUAUGGGCGGUACACUCCCUUGAAGAUGUCCCUGGAUGAGGUAUACGAGGCCAUAAAGGAUCGAGGGCUGCUGCACCCCCCUACACCAAUAACAAAGCUACCCAACAGGAGGGAUAGAGGACGUUAUUGUAAGUUCCAUGGCACCCAUGGCCAUACCACAACAGAGUGUAGAGAUCUCAAGACCCAUGGCCAUACCACACCAAUAACAAAGCUACCCAACAUUAUGGAUGGGACUUUUCCGAUGGUGGCCACGACAGAUGAAGGGGAGCAGAGCGAUAGAAUCUUGAGGCGCGAGCAGCCCGCAGUAAGAGUGAUAGCCGGGGGCCCAACGUUGGCCGGAGAUUCAAACAGAUCGAGAAAAAAUUAUGCUAGGUACGUCAUGACCAGUAAAGAGGUACUCCUCAACACCCCAGCAGCCAAACGAGCAAGGGUCAGGCAAGUGCCAAUCAUGUGGACGGAUGAGGAUGAGGAAGGGAUUCUAUACCCCCACGAGGAUGCCUUAGUCAUCAGGGCUACGGUCGCUAGCAAGAAGUUUGACCGGAUACUGGUUUAUACAGGGAGCUCAGUUGAUGUGUUAUUUAAGUCAACCCUGGAAGAGAUGGGAAUAGCCGACUGAAAGUUGGAAUACACCAACACCUCCUUGAAGGGGUUCGGAGGAGGGAAGCUGGUUCCUCUGGGCGUGGUCGAACUGCCCAUCACAAUUGGGAGCCCCCCGACAGAAAGAACAGUGAUACUGGACUUUGUCGUAGUGGAUGAGGAAGGUCCUUACCAGAUGAUCCUAGGUCGGCCAUUUUUAAGGAUAAGUAAAGCGGUGUUGUCCAACCAUUAUCUGGCUCUGAAGUACCGGGUGAAUGGGGUAGUAGGAGUGGUACGAGGAGACCAGAGGAUCGCAAGAAGCUGCUACUCCUCGGCAGCAAGGGAGGCAAUGCAGAUAACAUCCCUCGAUACCCGAGUGGAAAACAAGACUGGCAGACAAGAACCUGUAGAGGAUCUGGAAACAGUGAGCAUGGAACCAGAGAACCCGGGAAAGACGAUCAGAAUCGGGUCGAGACUUAAGAGAGAGCAAAAGCAGGAGUUGGUGAAAUGCUUACAGGCUCAUGCUGAUGUGUUUGCCUGGACACAUGAAGACAUGCCGGGGAUUGACCCUGAGGUAGCGUGUCAUAAGCUGGCAAUAAAGAAAGGUGCUCGGGCAGUAAGGCAGAAGAGGAGGUGCUUCAACCAGGAGAGGUAUGAGGCUGUAAAUGACGAGGUGGAGAAGCUCUUGAGAGCAGGGUUCAUUCGGGAAGUCAGUUACCCAGAAUGGAUAUCAAACGUGGUGCUGGUAAAGAAGGCAAACGGCAAGUGGAGGAUGUGUGUGGAUUUCACAGACCUCAACAAGGCGUGCCCAAAAGACAGCUUCCCUUUACCAAGGAUCGACCAGCUAGUAGAUUCAACGGCUGGACAUGGUCUGCUUAGCUUCAUGGACGCAUUCUCGGGAUACAACCAGAUCCCCAUGUACGAGCAGGAUGAGGAGAGCACGGCUUUCAUCACUAACCAAGGUUUGUUCUGUUACAGGGUGAUGCCAUUCGGUCUCAAGAAUGCUGGGGCCACCUAUCAAAGGCUGGUGAACAAAGUCUUUAAGCCGUUGAUCGGGAAAACCAUGGAGGUGUACGUGGAUGACAUGAUUACCAAGUCCAAAAUCCCGAAGGAACACGUCAGACACCUCGA
rnacentral:lncRNA from 1 species